UCUAGUGGCGCACGGGUGCGUAACGCGUGCGAAUCUGCCCUUUGGUUCGGAAUAACAGUUGGAAACGACUGCUAAUACCGGAUGAUGACGAAAGUCCAAAGAUUUAUCGCCAGAGGAUGAGCCCGCGUAGGAUUAGCUAGUUGGUGUGGUAAAGGCGCACCAAGGCGACGAUCCUUAGCUGGUCUGAGAGGAUGAUCAGCCACACUGGGACUGAGACACGGCCCAGACUCCUACGGGAGGCAGCAGUGGGGAAUAUUGGACAAUGGGCGAAAGCCUGAUCCAGCAAUGCCGCGUGAGUGAUGAAGGCCUUAGGGUUGUAAAGCUCUUUUACCCGGGAUGAUAAUGACAGUACCGGGAGAAUAAGCUCCGGCUAACUCCGUGCCAGCAGCCGCGGUAAUACGGAGGGAGCUAGCGUUGUUCGGAAUUACUGGGCGUAAAGCGCACGUAGGCGGCUUUGUAAGUUAGAGGUGAAAGCCUGGAGCUCAACUCCAGAACUGCCUUUAAGACUGCAUCGCUUGAAUCCAGGAGAGGUGAGUGGAAUUCCGAGUGUAGAGGUGAAAUUCGUAGAUAUUCGGAAGAACACCAGUGGCGAAGGCGGCUCACUGGACUGGUAUGACGC
rnacentral:rRNA from 1 species